rnacentral:rRNA from 1 species
AGAAUCAACGCUGGCGGCGUGCCUAACACAUGCAAGUCGAGCGAGAAAGUGGAGCAAUCCAUGAGUAAAGUGGCGCACGGGUGAGUAACACGUGACUAACCUACCCUGGAGUGGGGGAUAACUGAGGGAAACCUUAGCUAAUACCGCAUAACACCUACGGGUCAAAGGAGCAAUUCGCUUCAGGAGGGGGUCGCGGCCGAUUAGUUAGUUGGCGGGGUAAUGGCCCACCAAGACAGUGAUCGGUA